UGGCUCAGGAUGAACGCUAGCUACAGGCUUAACACAUGCAAGUCGAGGGGCAGCAUGUCGGUUGCUUGCAACCGACGAUGGCGACCGGCGCACGGGUGAGUAACGCGUAUCCAACCUACCCUUGUCCAUCGGAUAACCCGUCGAAAGGCGGCCUAACACGAUAUGCGGUUCUCAGCAGGCAUCUAACGAGAACGAAAUGUGAAGGAGAAGGAUGGGGAUGCGUCUGAUUAGCUUGUUGGCGGGGUAACGGCCCACCGUACCGACGAUGCGUAGGGGUUCUGAGAGGAAGGCCCCCCCACACUGGUACUGAGACACGGACCAGACUCCUACGGGAGGCAGCAGUGAGGAAUAUUGGUCAAUGGGCGAGAGCCUGAACCAGCCAAGCCGCGUGAGGGAAGAAGGCGCUCAGCGUCGUAAACCUCUUUAGCCGGGGGACAAAACCUCCUCGCGAAGGAGGCUUGAGAGUACCCGGAGAAUAAGCAUCGGCUAACUCCGUG
rnacentral:rRNA from 1 species